UCUCCGUUGGUGAACCAGCGGAGGGAUCAUUACCGAAGUUACCUUCAAAACCCACUGUGAACCUUACCUCUUGCCGCGUUGUCUCGGCGGGAGGCGGUGUGCGUCGCGCGCCCUAGCGGGCCGCGCCGCCUCCGUCUCCGCCGGCAGCGCCAAACUCUAAAUGCACAGCGGACUGGACGUUCUGAUUUACAAAAAAAAAAAAUUAAAACUUUCAACAACAGAUCUCUUUGUUUUGGAACCGAUGAAGAACGCAUCAGAUCGGACGAGCACAUCAUAGAA
rnacentral:misc_RNA from 1 species